rnacentral:rRNA from 1 species
AUUGAACGCUGGCGGCAGGCCUAACACAUGCAAGUCGAGCGGCAGCGGGAAAGUAGCUUGCUACUUUUGCCGGCGAGCGGCGGACGGGCGAGUAAUGCCUGGGAAAUUGCCCAGUCGAGGGGGAUAACAGUUGGAAACGACUGCUAAUACCGCAUACGCCCUACGGGGGAAAGCAGGGGACCUUCGGGCCUUGCGCGAUUGGAUCUGCCCGGGUGGGAUCAGCUAGUUGGUGAGGUAAUGGCUCACCAAGGCGACGAUCCCUAGCUGGUCUGAGAGGAUGAUCAGCCACACUGGAACUGAGACACGGUCCAGACUCCUACGGGAGGCAGCAGUGGGGAAUAUAGCACAAUGGGGGAAACCCUGAUGCAGCCAUGCCGCGUGUGUGAAGAAGGCCUUCGGGUUGUAAAGCACUUUCAGCGAGGAGGAAAGGUCAGUAGCUAAUAUCUACUGGCUGUGACGUUACUCGCAGAAGAAGCACCGGCUAAUUCCGUGCCAGCCGCCGCGGUAACAC